UACGUAGGCAGCAAGCGUUGUUCGGAAUUACUGGGCGUAAAGAGUGUGUAGGCGGUGCUCCAAGUCUGGUGUGAAAUCUCCCGGCUUAACUGGGAGGGUGCAUUAGAAACUGGAAUGCUAGAGGAUGGGAGAGGUAAGCGGAAUUCCUGGUGUAGCGGUGAAAUGCGUAGAUAUCAGGAGGAACACCGGUGGUGUAGACAGCUUACUGGACCAUUUCUGACGCUGAGACACGAAAGCGUGGGUAGCAAACAGG
rnacentral:rRNA from 1 species